UAUGUCUCUUCUUUUUCUCUCCAUGUCAAGAAGAGCUGAUAAGAGUUACCUUCUGAAAGAAAAGAUAUGGGUCAGUGCCAUAACCUUCUCAAGUACAGCUACUGUGUCUCAAGAGGGCAGGAAGAAUUUAAAAAGGAAUUAUUGACUGUAAUGACCUGAAAGGUACCAGUUUGAUAACACUAGCUCCUGAGACCUGAGAGUCAGCCCCAGAUAUGCUGAUUCUAAGACAACUAGUAUGUCUUCACAGCCAAGAGACAGAACAUCUCUACUUCUGGGUAUGUGAUAUAGACUCCUUUUCCAUAGUUCCUUGCUUCACUGUUGAGCCCUUGUAAUUUAAACAGCUGUCCCAAAAGAUCUCGCCUGAGACUGUCAGUCCACUGCAACCUCUGCACACAUUUUUGUGGCUACUGCCUGGACAUACUGACCUGAACACAAAACACCAUGUAGUCACAUAUCACUCAAAACAUUAAUUGAAAGUAAGCUCCCUGUUUUCUUUCUAAGUGUGGGCCAGACUCUUCAUCUUCCUACUUUUUUUUUCUUUGUUUGUUUGUUUCUCUCCUUCCUUCAGUCCUUCUUUCAGUUCUGUUUUAUCUCCAUGCCAGUCUUUCAUUCCUUUUAAUAAUUCAUGUUAAACUCCACAAAGCUCCAGUUUUCUUAUUUUAUUGACCCUUUUCAUUGACCCCUGCUUUCCUUUUUUACAGUUAUGUCUACACAUUGUCAAAGCAUGUAGGACCACAAUACACGGGGUUGCAGGCUAAAGAUCAAACCAGUCAUUGAGCAGAGAAGUCCAUGAUCUUUUGGGUAACAUACACCCAUACACACCAUCCUGCUGUACCAGCAUUUCAGACUCUAAUAAUCUUCACUUGACAUUCCUGGAUUUGCCUAGUGAUGACAGUCUCUGUAUAUUAAGGCUAGUGAAUGUCUCUAUUGCAAAUCACAUUUAUGAUUUUUUUAAUGUCUUGAAGACUGUCAGAGGCAGACAUCUGAAGGGUGCGAUUUCUUGACAGACUGUUUAUGUACUAAUGUGUAAAAUUUCCCUAAAAUCUGCUCUGCCAUUUCUGUUGCCCGUAGGGUUGAGAAAUUCAGUAGUGCCUUAUGUUAGUGGUUGUCUAAUCGUCUUGAAUACAAGUUCUUCCCAUUGCACUGUCAUCAUGCCAUAAAAUGGCUCAUUGAAGUUUCCUAGAAAUAGAAAACGAGUUUAAAAAGUAAAAAUCACCGCUGGGUUUCCCUCUGCAAAAUAAGGAUUUAAUUUAACAAAUUUCUGUGCUUAUGUGGAAAAUAAAAUGUGUGUGUUUGAGGGGCUGUUUUCA
rnacentral:lncRNA from 1 species